UGAACAGUUGUGCUCAGCUCAUCUCCACAGCAUCCAAGCCUCAGGUCUAUAUCAGUUGGACAAGAAGCUUCUUCAAGCAGCUGCAUUCAUUUCAGAAGUCUAGGACCCAUUCCAAAUGGCUCUAAGGGCACCACCCUUCUAGAGACCAAAGAAGGUGGAGGGAGACAUGAACAGGCUAAGGAUCUUAUCUGGAACUACACUGCUUUUAAAGGGAAGAAGAAAACAAUCGAACAAUCUUUGGAUUGAGAAGAUUAGAACAAAAGGGGAUGACAUGGAACAGAAGCUCAAGAUAAAUGAGGAGUCUGCUUGGUUGCCCUUAGUGAGUUCAAGUGAACAGGAACGACCAGCAGGAUGAAUACAGAGAGGACUGGCGAGACUUACAUGAACUGAUGCUGAGUGAAAUGAGCAGAACCAGGAGAUCAUUAUAUACCUCAACAAUGAUACUGUUUGAGGAUGUAUUCUGAUGGAAGUGGACCUCUUUGAUAAAGAGAGCCUUAAUUGAUCAAAGAUGGACAGAAGCAGCUACACCCAGAGAAAGAACACUGGAAAUGAAUAUAAACUGCUUGCAUUUAUGUUUUUCCUCCCGGGUUAUUUAUACCUUCUGAAUUCAAUUCUCCCUGUGCAACAAGAAAACUGUUUGGUUCUGCACACAUAUAUUGUAUCUAGGAUAUACUGCAACCCAUUCAACAUGUAAAGGACUCUUGCCAUCCCGGGGAAGGGGUGGAGGGAGGGAGGGGUAAAAUCGGAACAGAAGUGAAUGCAAGGGAUAAUGCUGUAAAAAAUUACCCUGGCAUGCGUUCUAUCAAUAAAAAAUUAUUAAAAAAAAAAGAAAUAGCAUCAGAAAAAUCAAAUAACUUAUUAAAUAUUGGGAGGUGGAUAGUAAAAAAUAAAGAAUGCUUCUGAGGUUGUAAUCCUGUGUGACUGAGAUUUAACAAAAAUAUUGAAGUUUGAAAGAGGGAUGAACUUGGGGAAGGAAAAGAUAAGGAGUUCCAUUUUGCACAUGUCAUUUUGAGAUGGUUAUGGCAGCCAUCUCUCACUGGAGAGAGGUAGUUGAUGAUGUAGCCCUGUAACUCAAGUAAGAACCUAAGGUGACAGAUAAAUAGAUGGAUAAAUAGACAGACAGAGAGACAGAUAGUUGGGUUAUAUAGAGAGAUGAAUAGAUAUAUAUAUGGAUGAUAUCUAUAGAUAGAUAUAGGAACAUAUAGAUAUAGAUGUAGGAGUCUUCUGCCUUGAUGUCAUAAUCCAUGGUAACUAAUGAGAUCAUCAAGAGGAUGUCAAGAGAGAAGAGGAGGGAUUCUACAACAAAGCCAUAAAUGACACCCAUGUGGUGGGGGGAACAGAGUUGGGGGAGGACAUUGAUGAUGCUCACAACAAAAGAAUUGAGGAAUAGUUAGAUGUACAGAGGGAAAUCAGGAGAGAGUAGUGUUACAGUGUUACAAAAAGCUAGAGAGGAGUGGGAAGAAUGCUGAGAGCUAAAGAAAAUGAAGAUUGACAAAAGACCAUCAGAUUUAGCAAUUAAAAGAAUUUGGUAAUUUUGCAGAGAGCAAUUUCAGUUAAGUGGAAGUGUGAGACUCUAGAAGGGAAUAAAUUGAGGAGUGAGUGGGAGGAAAGUAGAAGCAAUCAGUAUAGAGGACAAUGAUUUUUUUUGGUUGUUUUUAGGAGUUUGACCAUGAAAGGGAGAGAUAUAGUUUUAUAGCUUGAUGAGGAUGUAGCUUCAAGUAAAAGAUUUUUUAAAAUUAAAUUUAUGGGAAUGAUCUGAACAUGUAAGUGGAAUAGCAACAGGAAGUACAUAAAAUUAGGUAAAGAAAAGGCAAGAUGAGGGUGUGAUUGAAGAAGCAAACAAAGGAAAUGGCAUCAAUAGUGUUAGUAGAAGGGAUAGCCUUGGCCUUGGCAAUGAGAAGAGUCAAAUCUUCCAGACUGUAACAAAAUAAAAGAAAAUAUGUAUGAUGUCGAAGGCUUUUGAUGAGUGGAAAUUGAAGGGAAGUCUUGAGUGGAAUGCCUUGGUCCAGUGCUAUAUCAACAAGUCAACAGAUGUUUUCUACAUGCCAGACACUGAACUAAGCAUGGAACAUACAAAUACAAGCAAAAAAGAAAGACUGCCCCUGCUCUCAAGGAGCUUACAUUCUAAUAGGGAAGAUGAUACAUAGGUGGAUGGUAAAAAAGUAGAGGAGAGGGAAAAAAUAUCCAUGAAGGGGACAUGGUAGGAAGAGUUCAUAGAGAAAGAUUUUGGAAAGUAAAUGAAAGAGUGAACAUGAAUGAUCUGGGUACUUUCCUUAAAAUAGAAGUUCUGGAAAAACCCAACCAAUUAGAGGAAGACUCCAGGGAUGGUGUGAUCUUCCAGGGUGAAAGAGUUAUUAAAGUCAAAAGUAGAGUAUGGGGGAGGAAUUAAAGAGUGAACAUAGCUGGCUGAGACACUUUUCUAUAAAUGACUUGGAUGAAAACAAAAGUGAUAUGGUUGUCAACUUUGAAGAUUAUGCACUGUGGAGGAAAUGGCUAACAUACUGGAUGGCAGUCAGGUAUUUAAAAAAUACUGACAGGUUAGAAAGGUGAACCAAAUCCAAAAAGAUGAAAUUUAGU